rnacentral:rRNA from 1 species
AGAGUUUGAUCCUGGCUCAGGGUGAAUGCUGGCGAUGUGGAUGAGUCAUGCAAGUCAAGGGGGCCCUUCGGGGCAACCGGCAGACGAGGUAGUAACACGUAGGUAGAUCCCCCAGAGUCGGGCAUAGCCAUCCGAAAGGAUGGGUAAUUCCCGAUGGUCCCGCAAGGGUAAAGGUUUUUCGCUCUGGGAGUUGCCUGCGUAGUAUCAGCUUGUUGGUAAGGUAACGGCUUACCAAGGCUACGACGCUUAGGGGAGCUGAGAGGCUGACCCCCACCGAUCGGACUGAGACACGGCCGAUACUCCUACGGGAGGCUGCAGACGAGAAUAUUCCGCAAUGGACGAAAGUCUGACGGAGCGACAUCGCGUGAUGGAUGAAGUGCUUUGGUACGUAAACAUCUUUUAUCGGGGACGAAGUAAUUGACGGUACCCGAUGAAUAAGGGGCUCCUAACUCUGUGCCAGCAGGAGCGGUAAUACAGAGGCCCCAAGCAUUACCCGGAAUCAUUGGGCGUAAAGGGUGUCCAGGCGGCCAUAUUAGUCGCCCGUUAAAUCCGUGGGCCUAACCUACGGCGUGCGGGCGAAACGGUAUGGCUAGAGGGCGCGAGAGGUACAGGGAACUCAUGGUGGAGGGGUGAAAUCCGUUGAUAUCAUGGGGAACACCAAAGGCGAAGGCACUGUACUGGCGCGUUCCUGACGCUCACACACGAAAGCCAGGGUAGCGAACGGGAUUAGAUACCCCGGUAGUCCUGGCCCUCAACGUUGUUCGCUCGUUUCGCGGAGUACCGACCCUCUGCGGGACUAAGGUAACCCGGUAAGCGAACCGCCUGGGUAGUACGAGCGCAAGCUUAAAACUCAAAGGAAUAGACGGGGACUCGCACAAGUGGUGGAUUAUGCGGCUUAAUUCGUCGGUAAACGAAGAACCUUACCAAGGUUAGAAACCAAACUGCAUCUUCCCUGAAAGGGGAAGAGCCUUCGAGGGUGUUUGGCAGGUGAUGCAUGGUUGUCGUCAGUUCGUGGUUUGAACUGUUCCCUUCAGUGGGGUAACGAACGCAACCCCCGUUGCCUGUUGCCUAUAUGGUCAGGCGAGACUGCUCCCUCACGGGAGAGGAAGGUGGGGAUGACGCCAAAUCAGCAUGUCCCUUGAUACCUUGGGCUGCACGCAUAAUACAAUGGUUGGUAACAACGAGAUGCAAUACCGUAAGGUGGAGCCAAUCUUUAAAACCUUCCUCAGUACGGAUUGAGGUCUGCAACCGACCUCAUGAAGCUGGAAUCACUAGUAAUCCCGGGUCAGCCAAACCGGGGUGAGUACGUUCUCGAGUCUUGUACUCACCGCCCGUCAACUCAAGGGAGCUGGGGGUACCCGAAGGACCGCCUUGCGCGGUACUACGGUAAAUUCAGUGACAGGGAGUAAGUCGUAACAAGGUAACC